CCACCCAAAUGGGCCAUGCAGUGUGGCACAGUGGGUAGCUGAGGGAACACUCUGGGAUAGGGGGAAAAUGAAGUUAGUUGAAAGGGGCUGAAGCUGCUGUUCUUGAAGUCUGUGUGUGUUUCCUAAAAGAUAAAGCAAGGCAAAUAUGCACAAGAGGGGAGAGAGAGAUUUUUUUAAAAUGUAGCUUCUGCAUUUUAUUUGUAACCUCGGUGUGGGAGAACCAUGUGUAUGACACACAGUCUUGUUAGCCACUCUGAGAUUUGGCAACUUAUACCAACACUGAGCUGGUUGGGGCAUUGCUGAGAGCUGUCUUUUUCUGGUUGCAGUUUUGCAAAAUAUACAUUCUUGACCAGACUCUUAUUAAACAGAAGGCAAAAGGACAGAGAGAUAUAAAGGGAGAGAGACACACAAAGAGGUCAUGUUAUCUCUGGGCCUGAAGCUGGAUGCCGGCCAUAACAAGGAUGGGAGGAACUAAUUUUUUCCCCAAAAUCUUGGAAAUUUUUGCAGAACGAAAAAUCUCAUUCCAGCUCAGCUCUUUGUAUAAAUCUGUUUAUAGCCCCAGCAACCUAAGAGAAUCAGGGAGCACUCUCACGUCUCUCUGGGAAGAGACUGGGGACAGACCCUUCUCAUCCAGAGCUGUCAUGUCCACUAGCAGUUGCACCUUCAAGGGAAGGUGAAUGUCCAUUGCUGUGCUGCAAAUUCUGCCAGCAGGUGCUGAGCUCUUGAAGGAUGAAAGCUGUACUGUAGACCAACAAAGAGAUGGACCUGUACGCCACCAACAUCCUACCCGCCAGAUGGACCAGAACUCCAUGGUGCUGAGAGAUUAGUCCUGUCCUUUCCUUGGGGCAAUUACAUGACCACUUUAGGCUCUCACGCAUGUGAGGAGGGAGAAGAAAAACAAGAUGUGCAAGGAUGUAAGUCAGGCUAUAACCAUGAACACCUAAUCAAUGCCAUCGAACAGCUGUCAAAGGAGAUGCUACCAUCUUCCUUGUUGUUGAAAAGCAACCCAAGAGUCCCUGAAGACACAGUGUCUGGGACAUGUAGGUGAGAAUUCUUCAAUCUCUUCCUCGAAUCUCAAUCCUCUGGAUGUUUGCCUACAGAGAGGGCAACAGCAAUAAAUUGCAUUAAAUAUAAAUGAAUACAGUAGAAAUUCUUCCAUGGAUAUUCUAGAUACUUCACUGUUAUUGCCCAUCUCAGAAGGCUCAUUGGGUGAUGACUUGCCAUCUCCUCUUUUAUUGUCCAGUUCAUGAGUUAAUCCUUCUGGCUGCCGUUUGAAGCUGUGAGCAAUUAAUAAUUCAUCACUGUUUGCUGAAAGUAUAUUGUGUUGUGUGAAAGAGAUGUAAUAUCAAAAUAUAUAAAAUAAUUUCUGGA